rnacentral:rRNA from 1 species
GAUGAACGCUGGCGGCGUGCUUAACACAUGCAAGUCGAACGAAGCACCUUGAUUUGAUUCUUCGGAUGAAGAUCUUGGUGACUGAGUGGCGGACGGGUGAGUAACGCGUGGGUAACCUGCCUCAUACAGGGGGAUAACAGUUAGAAAUGACUGCUAAUACCGCAUAAGACCACAGCACCGCAUGGUGCAGGGGUAAAAACUCCGGUGGUAUGAGAUGGACCCGCGUCUGAUUAGGUAGUUGGUGGGGUAACGGCCUACCAAGCCGACGAUCAGUAGCCGACCUGAGAGGGUGACCGGCCACAUUGGGACUGAGACACGGCCCAAACUCCUACGGGAGGCAGCAGUGGGGAAUAUUGCACAAUGGGGGAAACCCUGAUGCAGCGACGCCGCGUGAGCGAUGAAGUAUUUCGGUAUGUAAAGCUCUAUCAGCAGGGAAGAAAAUGACGGUACCUGACUAAGAAGCACCGGCUAAAUACGUGCCAGCCGCCGCAGUAA